GAUGAACGCUGGCGGCGUGCCUAAUACGUGCAAGUCGAGCGAACGGACGAGAAGCUUGCUUCUCUGAUGUUAGCGGCGGACGGGUGAGUAACACGUGGAUAACCUACCUAUAAGACUGGGAUAACUUCGGGAAACCGGAGCUAAUACCGGAUAAUAUUUUGAACCGCAUGGUUCAAAAAUGAAAGACGGUCUUGCUGUCACUUAUAGAUGGAUCCGAGCUGCAUUAGCUAGUUGGUAAGGUAACGGCUUACCAAGGCAACGAUGCAUAGCCGACCUGAGAGGGUGAUCGGCCACACUGGAACUGAGACACGGUCCAGACUCCUACGGGAGGCAGCAGUAGGGAAUCUUCCGCAAUGGGCGAAAGCCUGACGGAGCAACGCCGCGUGAGUGAUAAAGGUCUUCGGAUCGUAAAACUCUGUUAUUAGGGAAGAACAUAUGUGUAAGUAACUGUGCACAUCUUGACGGUACCUAAUCAGAAAGCCACGGCUAACUACGUG
rnacentral:rRNA from 1 species